rnacentral:rRNA from 1 species
UACGAAGGGGGCUAGCGUUGCUCGGAAUGACUGGGCGUAAAGGGCGCGUAGGCGGCGAUCAAGGUCAGAUGUGAAAUUCCUGGGCUUAACCUGGGGGGCUGCAUUUGAUACGUGGUGGCUUGAGUGCGGAAGAGGAUCGCGAAUUCCCGGUGUAGAGGUGAAAUUCGUAGAUAUCGGGAGAACACCGGUGGCGAAGGCGGCGAUCUGGGUCGAUACUGACGCUGAGGUGGCGAAAGCGUGGGAGCAACAGG